UAAUCUGCGAUAAGCGCCGGUAAGGUGAUAUGAACCGUUAUAACCGGCGAUUUCCGAAUGGGGAAACCCAGUGUGAUUCGUCACACUAUCAUUAACUGAAUCCAUAGGUUAAUGAGGCGAACCGGGGGAACUGAAACAUCUAAGUACCCCGAGGAAAAGAAAUCAACCGAGAUUCCCCCAGUAGCGGCGAGCGAACGGGGAGGAGCCCAGAGCCUGAAUCAGCAUAUGUGUUAGUGGAAGCGUCUGGAAAGGCGCGCGAUACAGGGUGACAGCCCCGUACACAAAAGCGCAUGUGCUGUGAGCUCGAUGAGUAGGGCGGGACACGUGGUAUCCUGUCUGAAUAUGGGGGGACCAUCCUCCAAGGCUAAAUACUCCUGACUGACCGAUAGUGAACCAGUACCGUGAGGGAAAGGCGAAAAGAACCCCGGCGAGGGGAGUGAAACAGAACCUGAAACCGUGUACGUACAAGCAGUGGGAGCCCCACCACUAAGCCAGUGGUGAACUCCACAUACGCAUCCUUUGCUGAGGAUACGGUUAGCGGAGCGAAAGCGACGUUCAACCUCAAAAGAAGCAGAGGGGGCUUAGUGGUGGGGUGACUGCGUACCUUUUGUAUAAUGGGUCAGCGACUUAUAUUCUGUAGCAAGGUUAACCGUAUAGGGGAGCCGAAGGGAAACCGAGUCUUAACCGGGCGUUAAGUUGCAGGGUAUAGACCCGAAACCCGGUGAUCUAGCCAUGGGCAGGUUGAAGGUUGGGUAACACUAACUGGAGGACCGAACCGACUAAUGUUGAAAAAUUAGCGGAUGACCUGUGGCUGGGGGUGAAAGGCCAAUCAAACCGGGAGAUAGCUGGUUCUCCCCGAAAGCUAUUUAGGUAGCGCCUCGUGAAUUCAUCUCCGGGGGUAGAGCACUGUUUCGGCUAGGGGGCCAUCCCGGCUUACCAACCCGAUGCAAACUGCGAAUACCGGAGAAUGUUAUCACGGGAGACACACGGCGGGUGCUAACGUCCGUCGUGAAGAGGGAAACAACCCAGACCGCCAGCUAAGGUCCCAAAGUCAUGGUUAAGUGGGAAACGAUGUGGGAAGGCCCAGACAGCCAGGAUGUUGGCUUAGAAGCAGCCAUCAUUUAAAGAAAGCGUAAUAGCUCACUGGUCGAGUCGGCCUGCGCGGAAGAUGUAACGGGGCUAAACCAUGCACCGAAGCUGCGGCAGCGACACUAUGUGUUGUUGGGUAGGGGAGCGUUCUGUAAGCCUGCGAAGGUGGCCUGUGAGGGUUGCUGGAGGUAUCAGAAGUGCGAAUGCUGACAUAAGUAACGAUAAAGCGGGUGAAAAGCCCGCUCGCCGGAAGACCAAGGGUUCCUGUCCAACGUUAAUCGGGGCAGGGUGAGUCGACCCCUAAGGCGAGGCCGAAAGGCGUAGUCGAUGGGAAACGGGUUAAUAUUCCCGUACUUGGUGUUACUGCGAAGGGGGGACGGAGAAGGCUAUGUUGGCCGGGCGACGGUUGUCCCGGUUUAAGCGUGUAGGUGUGUGUUCCAGGUAAAUCCGGUUCACUUUAACACUGAGGCGUGACGACGAGGCACUACGGUGCUGAAGCAACAAAUGCCCUGCUUCCAGGAAAAGCCUCUAAGCAUCAGGUAACAUCAAAUCGUACCCCAAACCGACACAGGUGGUCAGGUAGAGAAUACCAAGGCGCUUGAGAGAACUCGGGUGAAGGAACUAGGCAAAAUGGUGCCGUAACUUCGGGAGAAGGCACGCUGACACGUAGGUGAAGUGAUUUACUCACGGAGCUGAAGUCAGUCGAAGAUACCAGCUGGCUGCAACUGUUUAUUAAAAACACAGCACUGUGCAAACACGAAAGUGGACGUAUACGGUGUGACGCCUGCCCGGUGCCGGAAGGUUAAUUGAUGGGGUCAGCGCAAGCGAAGCUCCUGAUCGAAGCCCCGGUAAACGGCGGCCGUAACUAUAACGGUCCUAAGGUAGCGAAAUUCCUUGUCGGGUAAGUUCCGACCUGCACGAAUGGCGUAAUGAUGGCCAGGCUGUCUCCACCCGAGACUCAGUGAAAUUGAACUCGCUGUGAAGAUGCAGUGUACCCGCGGCAAGACGGAAAGACCCCGUGAACCUUUACUAUAGCUUGACACUGAACAUUGAGCCUUGAUGUGUAGGAUAGGUGGGAGGCUUUGAAGCGUGGACGCCAGUCUGCGUGGAGCCGACCUUGAAAUACCACCCUUUAAUGUUUGAUGUUCUAACGUGGACCCGUGAUCCGGGUUGCGGACAGUGUCUGGUGGGUAGUUUGACUGGGGCGGUCUCCUCCUAAAGAGUAACGGAGGAGCACGAAGGUUGGCUAAUCCUGGUCGGACAUCAGGAGGUUAGUGCAAUGGCAUAAGCCAGCUUGACUGCGAGCGUGACGGCGCGAGCAGGUGCGAAAGCAGGUCAUAGUGAUCCGGUGGUUCUGAAUGGAAGGGCCAUCGCUCAACGGAUAAAAGGUACUCCGGGGAUAACAGGCUGAUACCGCCCAAGAGUUCAUAUCGACGGCGGUGUUUGGCACCUCGAUGUCGGCUCAUCACAUCCUGGGGCUGAAGUAGGUCCCAAGGGUAUGGCUGUUCGCCAUUUAAAGUGGUACGCGAGCUGGGUUUAGAACGUCGUGAGACAGUUCGGUCCCUAUCUGCCGUGGGCGCUGGAGAACUGAGGGGGGCUGCUCCUAGUACGAGAGGACCGGAGUGGACGCAUCACUGGUGUUCGGGUUGUCAUGCCAAUGGCACUGCCCGGUAGCUAAAUGCGGAAGAGAUAAGUGCUGAAAGCAUCUAAGCACGAAACUUGCCCCGAGAUGAGUUCUCCCUGAGACUUUAGGUCUCCUGAAGGAACGUUGAAGACGACGACGUUGAUAGGCCGGGUGUGUAAGCGCAGCGAUGCGUUGAGCUAACCGGUACUAAUGAACCGUGAGGCUUAACCUU
rnacentral:rRNA from 1 species